rnacentral:rRNA from 1 species
UGGAGAAAAGCAGGGGAUCGCAAGACCUUGCGCUUUUGGAGUGGCCGAUGCCUGAUUAGCUAGUUGGUAGGGUAAUGGCUUACCAAGGCGACGAUCAGUAGUUGGUCUGAGAGGACGACCAGCCACACUGGGACUGAGACACGGCCCAGACUCCUACGGGAGGCAGCAGUGGGGAAUUUUGGACAAUGGGCGGAAGCCCGAUCCAGCAAUGCCGCGUGAGUGAAGAAGGCCUUCGGGUUGUAAAACUCUUUCAGUCGAGAAGAAAAGGUUGUGACUAAUAAUCACAACUCAUGACGGUAUCGACAGAGGAAGCACCGGCUAACUACGUGCCAGCAGCCGCGGUAAUACGUAGGGUGCGAGCGUUAAUCGGAAUUACUGGGCGUAAAGGGUGCGCAGGCGGCUUUGUAAGUCAGAUGUGA